AGUAACACGUGGGUAACCUGCCCAUCAGAGGGGGAUAACACUUGGAAACAGGUGCUAAUACCGCAUAAUAGUCGACACCGCAUGGUGUUGAUUUGAAAGACGCUUUCGGGUGUCACUGAUGGAUGGACCCGCGGUGCAUUAGCUAGUUGGUGAGGUAACGGCUCACCAAGGCGAUGAUGCAUAGCCGACCUGAGAGGGUGAUCGGCCACACUGGGACUGAGACACGGCCCAGACUCCUACGGGAGGCAGCAGUAGGGAAUCUUCGGCAAUGGACGAAAGUCUGACCGAGCAACGCCGCGUGAGUGAAGAAGGUUUUCGGAUCGUAAAACUCUGUUGUUAGAGAAGAAUAAGUAGGAGAGUAACUGCUCUUACCUUGACGGUAUCUAACCAGAAAGCCACGGCUAACUACGUGCCAGCAGCCGCGGUAAUACGUAGGCGGCAAGCGUUGUCCGGAUUUAUUGGGCGUAAAGCGAGCGCAGGCGGUUUCUUAAGUCUGAUGUGAAAGCCCCCGGCUCAACCGGGGAGGGUCAUUGGAAACUGGGAGACUUGAGUGCAGAAGAGGAGAGUGGAAUUCCAUGUGUAGCGGUGAAAUGCGUARAUAUAUGGAGGAACACCAGUGGCGAAGG
rnacentral:rRNA from 1 species